rnacentral:rRNA from 1 species
GACGAACGCUGGCGGCGUGCCUAAUACAUGCAAGUAGAACGCUGAAGGAGGAGCUUGCUUCUCUGGAUGAGUUGCGAACGGGUGAGUAACGCGUAGGUAACCUGCCUGGUAGCGGGGGAUAACUAUUGGAAACGAUAGCUAAUACCGCAUAAUAGUAGAUGUUGCAUGACAUUUACUUAAAAGGUGCAAUUGCAUCACUACCAGAUGGACCUGCGUUGUAUUAGCUAGUUGGUGGGGUAACGGCUCACCAAGGCGACGAUACAUAGCCGACCUGAGAGGGGGAUCGGCCACACUGGGACUGAGACACGGCCCAGACUCCUACGGGAGGCAGCAGUAGGGAAUCUUCGGCAAUGGACGAAAGUCUGACCGAGCAACGCCGCGUGAGUGAAGAAGGUUUUCGGAUCGUAAAGCCCUGUUGUAAGAGAAGAACGAGUGUGAGAGUGGAAAGUUCACACUGUGACGGUAGCUUACCAGAAAGGGACGGCUAACUACGUG